AAUAAAGAAAUGAUGUGUUGCAAGUACAAGGUUUUGGAUGUCAGAAGAGACAGAAAAUGAUAAAUUUGACAUCCUAAUCUAGCCAAGGACCUUUACUUUUUGGACAUGGCGGAAACAGGUUAUAAAUACACAUCUAGAUAGCUUUAUCAACAGAGGUCCCUUGACUGAAUUCCUCUAUGUGAGAACAAGUUUAGAAUGUCUGAACCUGCGUAAUGGCAUGUCGUCUGCGUACAGCCUACAGGAUCGUUGAUGGAAAUAUGAUGUCAUCUCCGAGUACAAAUACUGUGUGUCCACAGGCGGAUUGGUGAAGUCUUUAGGUGCAUCUUUGUCCUGAUGCUCCUACUUCCUUUGUGUCUCUUCCUCCAUGUCUCUCAUGGUCCUGUGUAAUCCCCGACCUUGAUUUGGCCUCACUCCAGACACAUCUUCCUCAUUGGCUGAGAUGCUAUCCAAUUAUGUGAGGACAUUCAAAUACACAAACUCUCAGGCUCUCCUGUGGUCACUGUAAGUUCAGAGUCUUGUCAAGAUUUAUAGCUCUUCUCAUCUCUGUGCUUUCUAAGAAAAUUAUUAAAAAUUUUUAAACUA